UUCAGCCUCCGUUAGCCAUUGUCUACAUGAACCUCAGCCUCCUGGGAAGCACACGAGUGAGUCUGCUCUACCUGGGACGAUAGUCUGUAAGGUUCUCCAGGGAUUUCAAAGAGAAAGAAGCAUGUCUUCCAAGGCAUCCCCAAACCCAGCAGCUGCUCCUAUUGUAGUAAGCCCAUCAGGGCAUUGCGAUCCUGGGCCAGCACGCUCAGAUUCUGCCUUUCAGCGUUCUUUCCACUGUCCCCAUCGGCCAAGUUCUUCUGGGUCUGCUGGAAAGCUCGCACGGGUUAUUCCGGAGUCUCACUCUUCAUUCCUGCACUCCGCUUCUCAAGUGCCUGCUCCCUUGGAGAAUGUUGCAGUGUGAAAUCUUCAGAUGAAAAACACGUGCUUUUCAUGCAGUUUUAAAAACGGUAUUUCCUGGUAACACAUUUUGAUUUCCCUGUUCUACAUGCAAAGAGAAGCUUAGGCAGGCAGAACCUUAAUGACUUGCUAGGUGAGAGGCAGGUUGGACUGCAGCACAGUGGCUGGAAUGACCCGGUGCCCAGCGUCCGGUGACCCAGCACCUUCUCUGUUUUCUACUGCACGUUCUUGGUAACUCAGAUGCUGGCAUGAAGCCCGGUCUCCCAACCCACCCACCAGCCAAUAAGCCAGCCAGCGUUUGUCCAAGGCCCACUCUGUUGUUCCUGCAGCAGGGUUUGGUGCUGUGGGGAAUGCCAAAGCCAGACCAGACGGGGUCCCUGCCACCCCGGUGCUUGUAAUCUUCUCGGAGAAACAAGACAAAAAUACAUGACACAAUUGCAGAAUCUGACAGAAUGUAAUAAAGUGCUAAAUUGUGUGGUGUAGGCAAUUAGAGAUCAAGACAGUAUAUAAUAAAGUGCUAAUUGUGUGGCGCAGACGGUGAGUAUAAUGGGAAUUCAGUGGAGGGAUGGAUGCGUGUGGGCUGCAGUCUUCAGGGAAGGCUUGUCAUCGUGUCAGGCUGCCGUGCUUACCCAGUGCACAAUGGGAAGCGGAAUACGAAGUAGCAGACGGAGCAAGAGCAGAAUACCCGUGUAGUUCCGUGGCAUCUCCUCUCAGUCUGGAUGAGGACAGACGGAGAAGGAGUCCUUUGACAGGUGGCAUUCUCCAUUAAAAAAAAAAAUCAGACAGAGAAAUGUUUCAUUUUUUAAUUAAUUGUGUUACAGAAAAAUUUUACAGAAACUUGGUCAUGUUUUAAAUUGAAUAAUGUUUUAUAUGUACUAGGAGAGUCCAGUGUUUAAAGAAGUUACAUCAUAAAUCGUUUUCAUUAAUGAAGAAUACUUUUGCAGGAUAGAUAAUCACUUACUAGUUUAUCUUUAUACAAGAUUCCUUAAAUUAAGUAAAUAGAUACUCUUGGACACUACUGGUAGCCCUGAUGAAUGUAUUGUGAGGUCAUUUGGCAACAUGUACCUCAAAUCUUAAAAACAUGCAUAUUGUUUGGCUUAUCAGUUUCACUUCUGGGAAUUUAUUCUAAGGAAGUCAUCAGGGCUGGCUGCAAGAAUAACUUUUCUACAAGGAUAAUUAUCACAGAGUUGAGAGAAACUCCCAAUUUAAAUGCCCUCAGAUGAAGGACUGGUGAAAUGAAUUAACACACAAUUAAUGGAAUGUGUCGUCACUAAAAUGCUGGAAUAUGGGGGGAAAUAUUCACAACAGGUGAUACGUGGAAAGAGCAAAUUCUAAAACUUGUUAAGUGUGGUUUCAUUUUUGUUACAAAGAUACUUUAUGCAGAAAAACUUACCAGAGCGGUGAAGGUAUAGGUAAUUUCCACUUCUUUAUGCUUCUGUGCCAUUUCCAAAUGUUUUCCAAGCUACAUGGGUUACUCUGUAGUAAAAUAUGUACGAAGACCCUAUGGUUCUCUGAUAUAAUUGAAGAGUUUAAGUAGUCAUACUUUGGAUUGGCAUCCAGUGAGUUUUCUUUGAGCGGGGUAGACCUAUCCUAGAGGGAUUCCUACAGACCUACGAGGAGGGGAAGAUGCAGGGGAGGUGGAGGUUGGAACUGAAGAACUCAUGCAAAAAAAAAGACGUUCUGGGCUGAGACACAAGCAUGAGAAGCAUUAUUCCCUUCUCCGCUGAAUUACGAGCAUUUCCUAUUUAGCAGAAUGUAUACCUUAAUUUUGUGAACUCAUACCAAGGUAGGAGACAUUUGGGAAGUAAGCACAUUCUUUAAAGGCUUAUGCAACAUGAAUUAUUAGCAGCAGAGCCUUUCAGUGGGGGCGGAACGUCCAGGACGUGGAUCAGUUUUUAAGACAUCUGGAAUACUAAAAAAAAGUAUAGAUGUACCAAAACAGAGUUUCCGAAAUUGUGCUGUAUUUUAAAUGCUUAUCUUGAGCAAGUGAACACCUUGAACACACAGAAUACAAGAACAGAAAGUUAGGUGUCAUUUGGAGAUUAGGUCGGAAGCCUGAAUUGGAGAUCUUUGGUGAAUGUGGGAUCGAGGCCAGAUUGGCCCCUGCCUUGAAACCACGUGGAGGAUGUGGAAUUUCUGAAAAAAAAAAAAA